AGAGUUUGAUCCUGGCUCAGAUUGAACGCUGGCGGCAUGCCUUACACAUGCAAGUCGAACGGCAGCACGGGAGCAAUCCUGGUGGCGAGUGGCGAACGGGUGAGUAAUAUAUCGGAACGUGCCCAGUCGUGGGGGAUAACGCAGCGAAAGCUGUGCUAAUACCGCAUACGAUCUCUGGAUGAAAGCGGGGGACUCGCAAGGGCCUCGCGCGAUUGGAGCGGCCGAUAUCAGAUUAGCUAGUUGGUGGGGUAAAAGCCCACCAAGGCGACGAUCUGUAGCUGGUCUGAGAGGACGACCAGCCACACUGGAACUGAGACACGGACCAGACUCCUACGGGAGGCAGCAGUGAGGAAUAUUGGUCAAUGGGCGCAAGCCUGAACCAGCCAUCCCGCGUGCAGGAUGAAGGCCCUAUGGGUCGUAAACUGCUUUUAUACACCAAGAAAAACACCC
rnacentral:rRNA from 1 species